AUGCUUGGCAUUGACGUGAAACAUAGGUGGAACACAACAUACCUCAUGUUGCGUCAACCGAAAGGGUAUGAGGAAAUAAUUUCUGUUUUCAUCAAUUCAUUGCACUUUAGAAACAAUGAUAUUGAUAAGGAUGGUGAUGGUGAGAUUUUGCUUCUUACUGAGGAAGAAUGGAACAUAGCAACACGUCUGCGUAUAUUCCUAAAGCCUUUUUAUAAAGCUACAGUCCUACUAUCUAGAAUUUACUAUCGUACUUCUUGUAAGGUGCUUGAAUGUCUUUGGAAAUUGUCCCUUGUGUUUCAAAAAAACCGACAUGAUAGAGUUUUAGCUUCUGUUGUUCAACCCAUGGAAGAAAAAUUUCUCAAAUUCUUCACUGCUAUUCCACACCUUUAUUAUUUUGCUUUGAUACUUGAUCACCUUGGAGGUUGUGGAGACUGCUUUCUAUCAAUAGGUGAUGCAAUGAGUCUUGAUUAUUUUGAAGCUUAUCAACAUGCUAAAGAUGAGUUGUUCAAGGUUUUCCGUCUGUACCAAACUAAGCUAAGUGUUGCUCGUCAGGUGCCUGAGGAAACCCCACAAAAAAAGCAAAGCAAAUCAAGUGCAAUGAAUAUGUGGAAGAAGAUCAGGGGCAAGAAACAAGCCUCCUCAUCAGGUAGUAGGUCAAAUUGGAAUCCAGAUGCAGAGCUUAACCAUUACCUCAACACCAAUCACACAAAACAUGAUCGAACAUUGGAUGGUGAAAAUUUCGAUCUCCUUGAGCGGUGGAAAGAGAAAGAACGAACUCUUCAUGUGCUAGCUCACUUUGCACAGGGCGUUCUAUUGGUUCCGGUUUCCUCUAUCUCUUCGGAGCAUGCAUUUAGCGAGGUUGGAAGAAUUAUUGAAGAACAGAGGUCAUGCCUUGCACCUGACACAGUUGAGGCAAUAUUUUGCCUUAAAGACUGGAUUAAAGCAUAUUAUGCAAGGACACAAUACCGGUUAGAGGAUCCAAAGAUUACUGAUGCAGCGGCAGACGCAUUGAUGGAAUUUGGCAUCACCACUUAUGGCAGCGGUGCCAAUCGAAAUUAAUAAUGCAAUU
rnacentral:lncRNA from 1 species